UACGUAGGGGGCUAGCGUUGUCCGGAAUCAUUGGGCGUAAAGAGCUCGUAGGCGGUCUGUCACGUCGGCUGUGAAAACCCGAGGCUCAACCUCGGGCCUGCAGUCGAUACGGGCAAACUAGAGUACUGCAGGGGAGACUGGAAUUCCUGGUGUAGCGGUGAAUGCGCAGAUAUCAGGAGGAACACCGGUGGCGAAGGCGGGUCUCUGGGCAGUAACUGACGCUGAGGAGCGAAAGCGUGGGGAGCGAACAGG
rnacentral:rRNA from 1 species